GGGUGGUUAGCUCAGUUUGUUGAGCAUGGCGCUGUCAAAGCCAAGGCCGUGGGUUUGAUUCCCCUUCAGUCCC
rnacentral:tRNA from 1 species